ACACAGCACCCUGAGAAUCACACCAAGUUCCUGAAACCAUUGUUCAAAUACUUCUUGAACUCUGUCAGGCUUGGUGCUGUGACCAUUGUCCAUUUCUCUGAUUACUUAAGGUCUCUCUUGCAGGGUCUCUCCACUCUCAAAGAGGUUGACAGCUCCUCCUAAUUUAAUUUUGGAGGCAAACUUACCUAGUAUUUCUUCAAAUCCUGUGUCCAAGUUAUUAAUGAAGAUGUUGAAGAGAGCUGGGCCAAGGGUGCUGCCCUGCAGAACCCCACCAGUGUCUGGUUGCCAGUCUGAUGUCAGUCCAUUCCCCAUAACCCUCUGUGCCUGACCUGUGAGCCUCUUGCUCCCCACCAUAUGGUUGGUUAUCCACUUGUGUGCUGGCCGUUUUGUCCAGAAGGAUCCUGUGAGAGACAUUAUCAAGCUCUUUGCUGAAAUCCAAAAGAUUACUUCAACUGGCUUUCUUAGAUCAGCUAGGUAAGCUAUCCUGUCAUAGAAUGAAAUCAGGUUUGACAAGCAGGACUUUUCCUUCAUGACAUUUUGCUGGCUGUGGCUAAUGACUGCAUUGUCCUCCAGGUGUUUUUCUACACCUCCCACAAAAAUUUUUCCAUGAUUUUAACAGGUACUGAAGUGAGACUGAUAGGCAUGCAGUUUCCAGGGUCCUCCUUCUUUCCCUUCUUGAAAAUUGGGACAACAUUUUUCCACUUUCAGUCACCUAGGACCUCUGCAGAUUCCUGAGACUGUUCAAAAAUCAUAAAGAGAUGCUUUGGGAUGACAUCAGCUAGUGCUUUAAGGAUUCUUGGAUGAAUCCCAUCAGGCCCCAUAGACUUGUAGGUGUCCAGCUGGAACAGCAGAUCCUUCACAUUUUCAGGGGACCAUUUUUGCAGUCAUGGUCCUCCAGCUCAGGACACUAAGACCCCCUCGGUCUGCCAUCUAAGUUGAGAACAGAGGAAAAAAUACUUAAACACAUCUGCUGUGUCCCUGUCCCUGUUUGUGAAGAGACCGUCCUCAUCUUGAUGUUAUUUUUACGCUGCCUAUUGCCAUUAACAUAGUUGAAAAAUAUAUUUAUUAAUAUGGGCCUGUUCCAUAGAGUUCUAUCCAGGUUUUUAGGAAUCUUCUGACUUGGGUUGUAGCAGCUGUGUAGAUGCUCCCAGCUGCAAGCUAAAAUCUCCUGUAAGGACAAGGGCAGUUGACUUGGAAUGUCCCUCAGUUCUGCAAAGAGUAAUUCAUUGGUGUCAUCAUCCUGGCUAACAGGGCUGUAGUCAGUUCCCACGAUGACAUCCACAUUACUUGUUUGUCCCUCAAUUCUUACCCAGACAUUCUCAAUUGUGCCAUUGUCAACUGUGAGCUCCAUACAUUCUAACCCUUCUAUUACACACAAUGCCACCCUGCCCAUCUCUUCUGAAGCCCUGCAACCAUCCAACAGGGCACUCCAGACACAGGACUCACCCCACCAGGUGUCACUUAUACCAGUGAUGUCAAAUCUCAGGGACUCAGCCAAAGCCUCAACCUCUUCUCUUUGUUCCUCAUGCCAGGUGCAUUAGCAGAAAAAUUUCAGGUCUCAGGAGAAGAUCAUGAGGUCUGGAGGACAUCCCUGGCAGCACAUUGAGAAAAACCAGCCGUGGCUUACCAGCAGUGUGGGAUGGAGAAUUAAAAGGAGUUGAAGGUGCUCUGAAGGAUGGCCCAUGACAUCAGCACCAAAAGACUGGUCAGCUAACACAGUGAGAGGGCAUAGGAACUGAAGUGCUUAGCUGCAGAGACCACUAGAAGCAGCCUCAAUCACAAGAAGAAAGCAAUAAACAGGCUCAAGGAUUUGGAAGGAGAGAAAGAGGCCAAAAGGAAAAAAAAUCUUUUAGUAUAGUUGAAAAUAGGUUUACUGCUUUCUUCUCCUUGAAACUAGAUUAUCACACUUCAGAUGCAUUUUCAGACUGAUUUCUCAUGGUGUUUUUCAGUUUUCUGGCCAGGAAAUAUGCCUCAGCUUCAAGGUAAAGUCUUGGAGGCAAUAUGUAUCUCAUGCAAUACAAGGUAAUCUAUUUUGUUCUCUGGUUACUGCAACUCAGGUUUGUUAAAGGGGAGGAAAAACAGUAUCCUCAACUAAACCUGGAUGCCCAGUAUCUGAUUUUCAUAAGCUUGUCUGUCCCACAAGAGCUCAGCUCAAAAGACCUCCUCCAGCAAAGUCUAGCUUUAAAUAUGUGUGUGGUCUCAGUGAGUUCAGCAAAAGUCCCACAAGCUUCAGUAGCAAGUUGAAUUGAGUUGUAGGAUUAAGUCCUUCAUGUGCUUACUGUGUUACAUAAAGCAGUGCCACUACAUGCUGCUGAAAGUUAUCAAUUGCACUGUUUUCAAGCAGAGACCUGAGGAACAAGACCUGGCCAGACCUGUCAUGGAGCAGCACAGUGGUCUCCAAGUCAGAGGUGCCCCACAGACUCAUCAGACUUUUCCAGCUGUGGGUUGUUCUGCACAUGC